GCGCGGGUGGCGGAAUUGGCAGACGCGCUAGAUUCAGGUUCUAGUGAGAGUUCUCGUGCGGGUUCAAAUCCCGCCCCGCGCA
rnacentral:tRNA from 1 species